rnacentral:rRNA from 1 species
UACGAAGGGGGCUAGCGUUGCUCGGAAUCACUGGGCGUAAAGGGUGCGUAGGCGGGUCUUUAAGUCAGGGGUGAAAUCCUGGAGCUCAACUCCAGAGCUGCCUUUGAUACUGAGGAUCUUGAGUUCGGGAGAGGUGAGUGGAACUGCGAGUGUAGAGGUGAAAUUCGUAGAUAUUCGCAAGAACACCAGUGGCGAAGGCGGCUCACUGGCCCGAUACUGACGCUGAGGCACGAAAGCGUGGGGAGCAAACAGG